UGUUCUGUAGCUCAGUUGACAAAAGUGCCAGUCUAGCGAAUACGGAGUCGUGGGUUCAAAUCCCACUAGAACGC
rnacentral:tRNA from 1 species